rnacentral:rRNA from 1 species
UGAGGAAUAUUGGUCAAUGGGCGGAAGCCUGAACCAGCCAUCCCGCGUGCAGGAAGACGGCCCUAUGGGUUGUAAACUGCUUUUCCAGGGGGAGAAACUUUCCGAUGAAUCGGGAUUUGACGGUACCCUGGGAAUAAGCAUCGGCUAACUCCGUGCCAGCAGCCGCGGUAAUACGGAGGAUGCGAGCGUUAUCCGGAUUUAUUGGGUUUAAAGGGUGCGUAGGCGGCUCGAUAAGUCAGUGGUGAAAACCUGCAGCUUAACUGUAGACUUGCCGUUGAUACUGUUGGUCUUGAGUAUGGUCAAGGUAGGCGGAAUGUGUAAUGUAGCGGUGAAAUGCUUAGAUAUUACAGAGAACACCGAUUGCGAAGGCAGCUUACUGGACCAUCACUGACGCUGAUGCACGAAAGCGUGGGGAUCGAA